GGGGAGGGGCCAGCUGCUGUGUUCAGUCCGCCAUUGCAAACACGAAGCUCUUCCAGAAACGCCCUCACAGACACCCCGGAAGUCACGUACCCACUCUGUGGGCCUCAUUCAAUCAGUUGAAUUCUUCAAGAGAGAAAAACUGAAGUCCCUUAGAAGGAAAGAGUUCUGCCUUCAGACUGUCUUUGAACUUAAGACUGUAGCGUCGACUCCUGCCGGAAUUUCCAGCCUGCUGGCCAGCUCUGCAGAUUCACACUUGCCAGCCUCCACAAUCGCAGCUGAGGCGGAGGAACCCUAAGGGCUCAUUGAGAUCAUGGAUUUGCCCUUCUAUGCAUUGAUGGAGCACCUGCUGCCCACAGCGUCUGUAUUUGGUGCUGGGAUGCUGAGGACACUGAGAUCUUCAAACAGAGGCUGCCACUCUAAGCAAACAGAUCCCGAGCCCUGGACUCUGAAGCUUGGGCCCAGUUCUCCUUUUCUCCGGGUUUCAGAUCCCACUGUGAAGUGAGGGGGCCCUUCUGAUUCAGGACCCGGGGAAGCCAGGGGCAUGAGCAUCGGUGCCUCUUCUCUAUUUCAAGGACCCUUCUGGGUGUAAAGUUCUCUGAGAUGCCUUACAUGGAUUCCCACCACUGCAAGAUAACCAUCGUAUGUAAAGUGUUAUGACCAGCAGAGCGUAAUUGAAGUGCAUUCCAGAGGGAAAGACAGCGGCUCAGGGACAUGACCCUAUGCCAGCCCACACCACAGUCUUGGUCAUCACUCCUGUUUCCAUGGUGUUAACAGCAGCAGUUACUUGGUUACGGAGAGCUUUUCCUUACGCCAGCACCCUAUCCAUAUCGCUUGGACAGUACGUACACAAUGGUGAUGUUAUUGCUCGUCAUGUAUUACUAGUAAGAGCUUUGUCCCAGCAAGGAAGCCACCCAUGCAUCCACCAAACAUGAGAAACUCAAUCCCCAAAUCUCGUUUUGAAGUUCUGGUUCCUAGUCCAUUCCUAGUAGCCACAAUGAGAUCAGUCAGGGUCUUAGGAGGAAAAAACAUUCACACAGAUGUUUUAAAUGAAGGGACCUUAAUGACUAAACUACUAACAGACCUGUUGGCAUAUUAAGGAAAGAAAUGAGAGAGAUGGGGAAACUAAGGACUGGUAACAGCUGGAAGGCUUUGCCACCCUAAGAAUCAAACAGGGAAGGGAAAGAUGCAGCGUUACCAGGUCCUGUGUGAGCUGGCAUGAAGCCCGGGAGGUACCACCAUGGAGGCAUGGGGCUUCCUGAGAAGUGGUGAGGAAGAAUGGAUGGAGCAGGGAAGCAAGACCCCUUCCACCCACCGGCCCCCUGCUGCUGACCUCUUGGCCAAAUGGGACAGAAGCCAGCUUGCAGGGGCUGCUAUUCCGCCUGUGGGUAUCAGGGCAGAAAGUGGGCAGUUUCAGGGCAGGUGGGGUCAGUCAACAAUUCAGUUCAUCUUUUUCAGUUUUCUUUCUGGAUGAUUUUCAGAUGCUGUCUUGUGGUGUUGGGACUGCAGUUUCAUGAAAAUAUGUCUAGGUGUAGAGUUUGUUUUAUUCUGCUUAGAUAUAGAGUGCUUCCUAUGUUGGUGGAUCCAUCUUUUUUGACAUUAUGGAAAUUGUCUCUUUAAGUGUGUCUACUGCUGUAUUCUUUUUUUUUUUUGUAGGAAAGCAAAUAUAUGCGACUUUUUCAUUCUGUUAUCUAGAGGCAGUUUUGAAUGGUGAUUAAAAGCAUGAUUUCUGAA
rnacentral:lncRNA from 1 species